UGUCAGAAGUGGGAUUCGAACCCACGCCCACAUUCGUGGACCAGAACCCUCAGCACUCUGCAUCAGAGCAAGAUUCCUCUUGAGUCUGGCGCCUUAGACCGCUCGGCCAUCCUGAC
rnacentral:tRNA from 13 species